rnacentral:lncRNA from 1 species
GGUGUGUAGAAUCUGGUGUAAUAAAGUUCUACCUAUUUUUCUCUUCGCGGCGUCGACCCUGGGCAGAAUCUUUUGGCGCGGGCUACGCACACGUGUCGUACUUUCAUUGGACGCCAUGCACCCGCAGGCAAGCUUAAGGGGCGCUUGGUUCAGCUGCCUGACAGCGGGCCCUCGAACCCACCCGGAAUCCAAACUGCAUUCAAAUCCAAUUAAAUCUUAGAAGUAGAGAGAGGGAGAGAGGGAUCUAUAAGAUGAAAAGAGACGACGCGGAAUUAGAGCGUAGGCUAAAGAGGAGGUUGAGAGAGAGAGAGAGAGAGAGAGAGAGAGAGAGAGAGAGAG